rnacentral:lncRNA from 10 species
GCAGUGGCACAAUCUUAGCUCACUGCAGCCUCAAUCUCCUGGACCUUCCUUGGCCUCCCAAAGUGUUGGGAUUACAGGCAUGAGCCAUGUGCCUGGCCAAACCUCCAUUUCUGAUUGUUCAGGGAGUGAGGGUGGCUGCGUACAUUAUUUGUCGACCUAGGAUUUAGAAAUAUGGACAAGUGUGCAUGACCCACAGUGAACGCUUCAGAGGAUGAGAGUGGAAGGUCUGAUGUGGAAAAGUGCAAGCAAAUUGGACAUGCCAAUAAAUACCAUAGAACUUACCGCAGAUGACCAAAACUGUACAGGUAAGUAAUGAAAAAUGAUUUUAAUGAAUCUCUCAAACACCUGGCCAUAUUAUACGCUGAAAGGAAGUUUCUAUAGAAGACAACUGGAGCACGCCUUCUGGAGACAGGAACACGCUGUCCAGGAGCUCAGGUGCUUUCUGCAUUUUGAAAUGCUGUCUCAUCGGUUAUUUCAUCUGGUUGUCACAUCAACCGAAGUAGCAAGGGUAGGUAUGACUUUUCAUUUGCAGGGGAGGCAAGCUAAGGCUCAGAGAGCAGAUAUGUUGGGACCACAGAUCUCCAGGUGGGUUGUGGUGGUGCUGGGCCUGAGCCCUGUCUCCUGACACCUCCCCCAGGCCUGGUACACUGCCGCCGCUGUGAGGCAGUCCUUCUGGGGGAGUCUGGGCCAUGGUGGGGCAGAGAGGUCGAGCGCCUUUGGAAUGGGAGCGGUGGGAAACCAAGUCAUGAGGAAAGGCUUGGGAAAUUGGGGUGCCUGCAGGCAUAGUCACCACCACAUUGAACAGGAUAAGGGUUUGCCAUUCCUUUGGGGUGGGGGGGGGGCAAUCUUUUAAUGGCCUGGAAGUGGCAGGAUUUGGGAGAUGGCUUUGGAGGAAGCUGUGCCAGGGACAAAGGAGUGAGUGUUCUGGGGAGGACAGAUUCACAGCCCUUUUCUGGCUGAGAGAAGGAUGCCUAGGGAGGUCAGGUAUGAGGCCAGGAGGUUCUGGGAAGAAAAUCCAAAAUUCCUAUCCGUGCGAGCCAGGAAAAGGAAGGCAGUGAGGGGCAGGUGAAGACAAGCUUCUGAAAGAGCUGUCAACUGUGUGCCUUGGCAACGAGUCCCCAGGGGAAAACAAAGGGCAGUCCCGAGUUCCUGGGCAAAGGGCGUUCUCUCCCUGUCUUCCCGGAGGUCAGGGAAAAUGCCGUUCACGCUUCUUCAGCUUGUCAGCAUGUUUCUACCUCAUGCCUUGAGCAAAUUUUCUCCCCCAGAAAGUUACCUGCAAAAGUGACAUUUUUUUUCUGCUACAUCAUUUCCUACAUUUGUUAAUAAUGCUGAUGAGAUUCAUUCUGCUCCCCAUACCAGUUAGAAUCAAGAUGCCUUUAGACUUUCUGUGUCUUGAAGUGGUAUGUGAAAAUCAGCCCAUUAUGGAGAAAAUAUUGCAUAUAUAACUAAUAGCAACAUUUCACCUAAAUGCUUUUUUUUUGGCAGACAGUUAAACACGCAUUCUAUAGCAGGCAGAGCAAUAAUAUAUGUGAGUAUGUAUGUGAGAGUAUGUGUGUGUGUGUGUAUGCAUGAGUGUGUGUAUGUGAGUGUAUGUGUGAGUGUGUAUGUAUGCAUGAGUGUGUGUAUGUGUGUGUGAGUAGGUGACUGAGUGUGUGUGCUUAUGUGCAGAUAUAGAAAGCCGCAUAGGUUUACCUGCAUUCACAGGUAUGCUGAGGACGAUUCCAAGAGACAUCAGAG